UCCAAGCCCAAAUAAAAAGAUGAAUAUUAGGGUUUUCGUCUAUAAAUUAGUGCUUGUUUCUAAGGUUUAUAUCUCUUGUGGCUGGCUCGGUGGCUAGAACAGGAUUUGGCUCCGCCUGGCUAGAAUAGAAGAUCCAUUGAGUUACGUAGAAGGAAUCUCUGUUUUGAAGUGCGUCAGUUUUCAAUGACGAGAGCUUUGGCCGUGACUUUAAACUGCAGUCAAAACGUUGCCGUUUCUUCUGUGAAAGAUCAUUCAUUUAAGUUUUGGUUUAGUGGUUUUUUAUUUGCCAAUUUAUUUUUUUUCUUUUUUGAUCUAAAGAUCUGAUUAUUUUGCUGGUGGGUUUUUGAAUUGUUGAUAGUCAGUUUUAAUUUUUAACACAAAAUUAAUACAUUAGUUUUUAACA